UGAUCUAAAGCGAUCCCGCCACACCAUCCGUCACCCGGUUGAUCGGCAGUGUUGAUUCGGCUGAUGUGGCUGGCUAGGCCCUUCCUCCCUCCAGCUCCAUGUGAGCCCCUCCCGAAGCUGUGUGCUGGGUCAGAGAGGUUGCCACCCCUGACAGAGGAGGACCGGUCUUCGGUCAAAGGUAUACAAGUGGCUGCGCCCCCCUGCUGGAACCUGCAGGCAGGCGUCACAGUGCUUUUACUGGUGGUCACGCUUACUUUCUGGCUCCCUUCUGUUCCGUGUGGGGCUUCUGAACGCAGGGCCGCCCACUUGC
ensembl:misc_RNA 7SK 7SK RNA